UGGGGAAUAUUGCACAAUGGGCGAAAGCCUGAUGCAGCAACGCCGCGUGAGUGAUGAAGGCCUUCGGGUUGUAAAGCUCUGUCUUUUGGGACGAUAAUGACGGUACCAAAGGAGGAAGCCACGGCUAACUACGUGCCAGCAGCCGCGGUAAUACGUAGGUGGCAAGCGUUGUCCGGAUUUACUGGGCGUAAAGGAUGCGUAGGCGGAUUUUUAAGUCAGAUGUGAAAUACCCGAGCUUAACUUGGGUGCUGCAUUUGAAACUGGAAGUCUAGAGUGCGGGAGAGGAGAGUGGAAUUCCUAGUGUAGCGGUGAAAUGCGUAGAGAUUAGGAAGAACACCAGUGGCGAAGGCGACUCUCUGGACCGUAACUGACGCUGAGGCAUGAAAGCGUGGGUAGCAAACA
rnacentral:rRNA from 1 species